AAAGAGUCGGUAUCUCGAUAAACUAGCCCUGGUCGGGAUGGGUUGACCCCCCUCCGCUGGUUUCUUGCUUCCAGUCAAAGAGCAAGUGGCGCGGCAUGAU
rnacentral:ncRNA from 1 species